CGAGCGCGCGCAUUUCUCCGAGCGCCGGCGUCGAGUGAAGACUGAAGACUACCUACAGAUGAACAAUGAAGAUACGACGAAUGCAAGUGCUCCGGCUCCGGCUCCGGCUCCGCUUGCGCUGCUUGGCUGCUUGCUUAACCAAACCGCUUCUUUCGAAGCGAUCGCUCGCGGCACGGUGUGAUAACGCUGUUGCCGCAGUGAUAAUUAUCGUUUCUAUGCGAGAGAGUCGUAAACUGUCUUUUUCAAGACAAUUGGUUUCUUGUUUCUAAAAACGGAGUCAAAACGUGAACUGUCUUUUUCAAGACAAUUUGUUUCUGGUUUCUAAAACGAAGUAAGUCUAAAACUUUUGGUAAAGGUAUUGUGGAAGGUAUAUGGUAAGGUAUUCGGUGGUACUGGUAACUGUAGGUAUGUAGUCGUGCGGUGCGGCUACAAUGGCAUAUACCGGUAAACGAGCAGACGGAUCACCUG